CCAGGAUGGGGCACAGCAGCUCAGGUUUGGGGGAAAAGACCCGAAUCCAGAGUGCAGGGGAGAGGGGCUUGGAUAUGCCAUGUCUUGGGCUCCUGCUGGCUUCUGAGGUUUCUUGUCAGCUUGGGAAAGACCCACCUUUAUUUUUGCCCUCACCCCAAGUCCCCCCUGGCUGGGGCUGGGCAGAGAGGGUAAGCUGAUCUCCGAUCCACAAAUACCACCAGCUGCUUCAUCCACAGAAGGCGCUAAGAACGGGGAGGUGAGGAAUAAGAUCCUUAAAAUAAACUCUUGGGCAUCCCCCUCACCAGCUGACUGGCUUUCCGGAGGCUUGUGGCUAUUUCCUCAAGCAAUGAUUGGCCAAGGACCUAGCAUAAUCCACCACAUUGGCCAAGGGGACGUGGUGCACCCCAAGGCCAUUUCUCUGCAUUGGAGGCUGCGAAUCUCCUCUGGAAAAUUCCCAACCCGAGGACCCACCAUGAGCCCAGCUCAGCCUGACCAGACAGCCUCUGCCUGGAGCAUUCACAUCAGAUGGAAAGAAGCUGCUGUGUCCUCCAGCAUCCUGGGACCCUGUCCUCUGCCCAGUGACACAGCAGCCAUGGCUAGCUUGAUUUCUGGUCUCCAAAGCUAAGCAUAACCUUCCCGGGGUUUCUGGUUUUUCAGCCUGUACGAAACAUGUCUCUGUUCUAAUUAAAGUUCCCAUGGUAUGGUGUUCUCA
rnacentral:lncRNA from 1 species